AAGCAAAACUAACAAGAUUUCUACAAAGAUGAAAUUGCUGACUGAAUGAAGAAAAAAAAUCAUAAUAAAGCCUGAUGAACUUUAAUGAAAGGUGAAAUACAUCUAGCAGCCGAAGAUUUCUCAGACCCAGCAUGAAAUUUCUGUCAAAUCAAGGGAGAGAAAGACCUCAAAACAGCCAACGGCCCAGUGGAAUGCAGAAGAACCAGGUUCAAAUCCCAAAUCUGAUGGAGCAGGAACCUGAAUGUGGGUGUACCACAUCCCAAGUGAGCACCCUAACCAUCCAACUGUUGGCUAUUCUGGGGUGAUGUGUGUGAGUUUCCUCAUGGUUUUCAACAGGUCUUGGUUUCCUUCUGUACUG